CUGCAGCUCAAGUGGUGAUCAUUAUUAUUGGGCCUAAAACGUCCGUAGCCGGUUUAGUAAAUGCCUGGGUAAAUCGUGUAGCUUAACUAUACGACUUCCGGGUAGACUGCUAAACUUGAGACCGGGAGAGGCUAGAGGUACUCCUGGGGUAGAGGUGAAAUUCUGUAAUCCUAGGGGGACCACCAGUGGCGAAGGCGUCUAGCUAGAACGGGUCUGACGGUGAGGGACGAAGCCCUGGGGCGCAAACCGGAUUAGAUACCCGAGUAGUCC
rnacentral:rRNA from 1 species